UCCUGGAUAGCUCAGUGGGUUAUAGUGUGGUGCUGAUAAUGCCAUGGUUGCAGGUUCGAUCCCUGCAUGGGAC